GGGAGGGCGCCCUCCUCCCGCCGGUUGGGAGCGUGGAGGGAAGGGAGGCGGACGGGCAAAAGCGCUUUGGAGACUCUGGAAAGUAGUGCUUUCUAACGGCAGGAUUUCAAAGUGGUAGCAGGGCGUCGUUGCUGCAGUGUGGUUUGGACUUGUCUGAGACAGUUCAAGCCAGUGGGUGGCUGUUCAUUCUCCUGAAAAACAACUUUGAGGAACUGUUGACUGCUGAUGGCACUUGUUACGCAGCUCUUUAAGCAACCAAGCAGCAAGCAACCCUUUAAGCCUACGUACGUCUUUAAGCAACUCGGGCAGAAUCUGGGCUGGCCCUGCAGCUUGCUUUUUGACCAAUAGAGUGAGGUGGAAGGUACACUGUCUGACUUCAAGGCUGGGUCAGAAGAGGUCUUACUACUUCUGCCUGAAUUUCUUGGAAUGCUUGCUCUUUUCCACUCUCUCUGGGAACGCAGCUGCUGUGCUGUGUGGAGCUCAAGUCACAUGGAAAGGCCACAUGUAGGCAACAUAGAGACCCCUGCUGGGAUCCCAGUCAAUAGCUCCUAUCAACUGCCGGCAUGGGAAUGGGGCACACCAACGUGACAACCUGACUGAGCCUCGAGCUGACGCCAUAGCCAACUUGGCACUGCAGCUACGCGACCCCCCUGGGGGAACUGUCCAGCCAAGCCCAUUCAACCCCAAAAACUGGGGGAAAUAAUAAUAAAACUAUGUUUUAAGCCAA
rnacentral:lncRNA from 1 species